rnacentral:lncRNA from 1 species
CGCAUCACCAAAUUAUAGGGAACCUGGGCUUUGUACAUUAUAGGUAGCCAAUGUUUGCCUUUAUUUAAGCUUGUGAACUUGGAAUACAUAAACAAUUUGAAUGGAAAGGUAUUAAAUAAAUUAAGUACCAUACAUAAACUAUAAGUAAGUCGUGAGAGUACAAAUGUUUGCCUACAAAAGAUGCUUGUUUUGAUACCAAGCUAUCAUGAUAUACAACCUCGCACCACAAAGCUCAACUACUUUACUUAAUUCAUCACAUACAAGACUUUCAACCUCCACAAAUAAUAAGGACAAAGCUGAUUUAGUUUUAAUUGAGAAAAUUAGGCUAGCCACUUCGAUAAGUAUCUUCAAGUCAAGCCGGCCGCUUCCCUUUAGCGUCCACAUUUGCAACAAUUUUCUCCUUCUUGAUGCUCACGUUAACCAAAAUCUGAAGCUCCUCUUUGUCACUUAUCCUUACCCGAGAUUUGAACAUGCGGGACAUUUCUUCAUUAGUGUCAUUCAUCACAGGGUUACGGAAUGUCGCGCUAUCACAACUACAUUGACCGUUUGAGUCUUCUUUCAUGACCCACUCUCAAAAUCCAUAAUUCCGACUGCAGCAAAGGAAUAGUUUCCCCUUAUUGUGAUUUUCCUUCUCCACCACAAAACAUUUUUCAAAUCCAUACUUACAUCGUGGGCAAGGGCGUUUCUUUUUGCAUUCGACAAAAAAAUGAUCCUUAGCUCUACAACUAUGACAGAUUCCGGAGUUCCUUCCGGACAUUCUACAAUGGGAAUAAAAAACAUAUAACCAGUGUGAAGUCAGUCAUCUCAUCAAUUCAAGAAAUCCAGAAAGUACAAACACCCAGCUAGAUAAGCUAAUGAAGAGUACUUUUUGAAAAUGAAUUAUACAAAAUCACAGCACAACACUACCGGCACACAUCAACCAUAACAGAUGCCCUUUGUUUCUUUUCACCAAAACCCAAGCUCUUGGCUCUUGUUUUGUGAAUGUUUUUUCCACCACGCUCAAAAGGGACUGGGACUCCUUGGCAAGUCUAGAUUAAUUAAAAUAACUACAUCACAAAUAUGCAUUUUUGAUAGGCUUUGGAGUGAAUCCAAAACAAAACAAGCAUAAUAUAUAUGUUCGAAUAAUAAACUAAAUGUUUCCUAGAAUAUUAAAUGGAGGAGACUAUUAAAUUUCCUAGAAUAAUCAUGUACUUGUUU